GCCAGCAUGGUGUAGUGCUUGGACAUUGGACUAGGACUCUGGAAACCAGGGUUCGAAUCCCUGUCCAAUCA